rnacentral:rRNA from 1 species
AGUGAACGCUGGCGGCAGGCCUAACACAUACAAGUCGAGCGGCAGCGCGUCCGACCACCCUCGGGUGGUCGGAUGGCGGCGAGCGGCGGACGGGUGAGGAAUGCAUCGGAAUCUGCCUCGUUGUGGGGGAUAACGUAGGGAAACUUACGCUAAUACCGCAUACGACCUACGGGUGAAAGUGGGGGACCUUCGGGCCUCACGCGAUGAGAUGAGCCGAUGCCGGAUUAGCUAGUUGGCGGGGUAAAGGCCCACCAAGGCGACGAUCCGUAGCUGGUCUGAGAGGAUGAUCAGCCACACUGGAACUGAGACACGGUCCAGACUCCUACGGGAGCAGCAGUGGGGAAUAUUGGACAAUGGGGGGCAACCCUGAUCCAGCCAUGCCGCGUGUGUGAAGAAGGCCUGGUGUAA